CUGUCAGGAUGCCUUGAUUUUGUCCAGCUCUUCUGAGUCUGCCAAACAAGUAAUGCUGUAGUUAUUUAUCCUUAAGACAGGCUGUUGAGCCCCUCUUCAUGUCACUACAAAAGUCAACACAAACAUGUACAAACAUCCUGAGGCUGUCCACACUCCACAAAGCUGUUCAAGUUAUCCGAGCCCAACAAAUGCCGGUAAUGGUGAGACUGUUCUUAUUGCAGAGGUUGUUGAGUCACUCUUCACGUCCUCCCUGAAGGAAGCCGGCGGCCUGAAGCACCGCGGGCAGGUCACCACCACCAGCCUGCAGGCCAGGGACCACAAACACCUCUGGAUGGGACUCUGGAAUGGCAGGCUUCACUGUGGCUUCACUAAGGCCUGGUUUGCAGUAAUUAGGUGAAGUUUGGGGCACAUGUUACAAGUGUGCCUGGCUGUGGUGCUCAUCUCCAUCCCUCUGGCCCCUGAGCCAGCAGCGGGUAAGGACCCCUCAGCCCCAGGACAUGGCCACUACAGUAUCUGGGUCACCACAGCUGCCUUGCCCAGGUUCCCUUUUUUAGACCAACCCAAAAGGCAGGAUGAACAGCUGGGUGGGUCGUCACUAUAACCCAGACCGGUGUGUUCAUAGCUAGCCGUCAACCUCUCCACCAAGGGAGCACACUGGUUGCUGUGUGUGUCUACUCUUUCAAAGCAAACACUGCCUGGGUCACUGUAACAGCAGCCUGCCCCUGUCCCUGCAGAGGAAGGUGUUCCUUCAGUGUGACAGGAGAAAGCUGAAAAUCAACCGCACGUGCAAGACAUGCCAGGCUCUGAUGUCCAGUGUGGAGGAGAUCGGAAUUCCUAUCAUGAGGGAGACACACAACCGCACCACACCCUCACCGGACGCCAGCAAGCUAUUGCCAUCCUGUAGUCGCCACACCUCCAGGCUGGUCGUGGCUUGGGGGGGAACCGUACAUUUUCUCCUCAGUUCUGUGUCUUAAUUUUAGCAGGGAGUUCUCCAGGCACACGCCAGCAUUGCCGCCAAGGACUUCACACUGCACUGCCCGAAACACCCGUCGAGGGUGAUGAGGAUGAGGAGACAGUCAAGAUUGUGCAGUGGGUGAAGAGCAAUGAGCCAAUGGGAGCCACCAUCAAGCAGGACGACCACUCCGGAGCCAUCAUCAUCACCCGCAUCAUGCAUGGCUGACUGCUCCGGCCUCAUCCAUGCUGCCGACGAGGUGCAGGGGUCAACACCUUCAAUGUGGAGGGCAAGACACGGGUGGAUGUCCACAAGAUGCUGGUGCAGGCGGAGGGCACCAUGACCUUCAGGCUGCUCCCGGCCAGCAGCUCGGUGCACCUCAGGGAGAGCAAGGUGAGGGUGCACGCCUACUUCCACUAUGACCCCAAGGAGGACAACAAGCACAUUCCCUGCAAGGAAGCCGGGCUGCCCUUCAACAAGCUGGACAUCCUGCACAUUGUGACCCAGGAUGACCCCUACUGGUAAGCCCUGGUGACCUCAUAAUGAAGCUUUGUGGCUCUCAGGUGAUCCAGUGUCCCGCUUGGCCUGCCCCACUCAUGGGGAGCUAUGCGGCUCAGGCCAACUGAGUGCUGGUGUGUGACAUUGCCCCUGCAGCAGCCCUGCUAGACCAGAGGACUUGACCGCUGCAGUGGUGCAUUCCGUCCACUGGUGAGUCACACAGCUCCCCGUGGGUGUGGGGUGAAACACACUGACACUGGAUCAGCUGGGCGCACCAAAUACAGCGUUCCACACAGCAGCCCCAUCACAGUGCUCCCCCAGCAGCUCUUAUAGGCGACCCUUUACUGAAAACAACAAUCACAGUCAAAGGAAACAUUUGUAGAAGGUGCUGCAAAGGUGUCACUGGCCACUCACAUAACUACAUCGUCUGCCUUAUGUACAAACACUGCCCCCCGUCUGCACAACAACAGGCCAGCCCGAGGCAGGGCUGCUGCAGCACCAGAGGGGGCUGUCGUGUGUCUCGCUGGGUGUGGUGGUGGGGGUGGCAGUGGUCACGGUGGCAGAGGUCUGGGCUUUCAGUGAGCAAGCACACUCCCAACAUCUGUAUUCAAUAGAGAGCACACACAGUCAGAGCUUUUUCGUUGCCUUUCCUUAUUGGUGGUUAUGUUCAUCUAUAAAUGUAGGUUGGGUUGUUUAAAGCACAUGAGACAGAGCACAAAAAGGCAUUUUCCAAUGAGUUCUUGUCUGUUUUUAUUUUUUAUUCAAAAUUUUCACCCAAACUUUGGUCCAACCAUUUCAAAUAGUCUGUUUGGACGGCGGAUUUCUUGGGUCCUUUCCUCCCCUCUGCUCUGCCGCUCACUCCCAACACCUGUUUUUCCCUCUCAUGUGUUAGCUACAGGUAACAUAGGAGAGGGAAAAACAGGUGUUGGGGCUGUGUGGCAGAGCAGAGGGGAGGAGAAGACCCAGGAAUCUACCGCCCAAACGGACCAUUUGAAAUGGUUGGACAUUUUUCAGCCUCUUAAUAUCACUAGAGCCAGGGCCCCACUGUAGACCCUGAGUCCCCUCCAUGAACACUAGGAGACAGUAAAGUAAGGGGAGGGCAGGGACAGAACAAUGCCUGAUGAGCUAACAAGAGGUGUGUGUUGCUUCUUGCCUUCAACUCACCAAUGUCAGCAGGAGAAACAGUCUACACUACAAGUAGCCUCAGCCCCUACCAUCACGGCUGACAUGCCCAAUAAGCCCCACAGCCUCCCUCACCCUCCAGGCCAACAUCAGCAUCAGCUCCAAUUUCUAACACUUGCUGGGUAGCCGUUGUUGGCGAGAAGCUGGGAAACUCUCUUCAGCUCGGUGUUCGCGGCUGCCCAUGUUGAGGUGUGUGUGAGGGCCCUCUUGACAAAGGCGCUGAUUAUGCUGCGCCUAUAUCUUUCGGGGCAUUCGCUAGCACCGUUGAGACAGAACCCGAGGUUAGUGGCUUUCACGUACACUUCUGUUGAAAAAGAUGUGUCCUCACGGUGCACCAUGGUGUCCAGAAAUGGGAGCUUCUUAUUUUGUUCUAUUUCAUGCGUGAAGUUUAAGCAGGAGUCGUUCUUGAAUUCGGUGAUUAACUCGUUGAUGUGGCUCAUGGUGUCAACGCUGAUGAAGAUGUCAUCGACGUACCUCGCGUAGAUUUGUGGUUUGAGUUGAGGGUGGCGUGCAAAUAGCCUUUCUUCGAUGGACCUCAUGUAGAAGUUGGCGAAGAGGACGCCGAGGGGUGAUCCCAUGGCCACACUGUCUCACUGCAUGUACACCUUGCCGUCGGGUCCGUAAAAUGGUACUUCUUUAAUACAUGCUUGUAGAAGGAGGUGUAGCGAGGCUUCGGGAAUGUUGAGUGGCUCUUCGUCUUCUAAGUGGUAGAUGCGUUGACAUAUGAGAUCUAUGGAUACGUCGAUCGGUACGUUGGUGAAGAGUGAUUCAACGUCCAUGGAUGCCAUGAUGUUGGAGGGACGGGUAGUCUUCAGGAGAUCGAGGAACUCUGUUGUGGACUUCAAACUGAAGGAGGCUGGUGUGAAUGGUGUGAUGAGUUCAUUGAGGCGCUUGGCGAGUUUGUAAGUAACUGAUGGUGUCUGGCUGAUGAUGGGACGUAGGGGGUGGCCUUCCUUGUGGGUCUUGACGUUGCCAUAAGCGUAACCCAGUUUGUGGUCGCCUUCGAUGAGGGGGAGCUUCGUACUGCUGUUGUUGUUAGUGUGGCGGAUGAUACGGUUCAACUUCGUCUUAAUAUCGUUCGUUGGGUUUCUUGUGAUUCUGCUGAAUUUUGUGGUGUCGGUCAGGAUGGUUGCCAUCUUAUUCAAGUAGACAUCUUUGUCAAGAAUGACAAAGAUAGAUGACUUAUCGGCCCUGCGGAUGACAGUGCGAUCGUUGCUCUUCAGUUCUUGGGCAACAGUUCGAAAUUCAGGUGUGAGGAGGGAGCUGCGCUGGUGUCCUCUUGUUAUCUUUGCUUCUCGGAUGAUUUCGGCUUGUAGGUCAGGUGAUGUUGUUACCCUCUUGUCGUUCUCGAGCUUUUGAAUGUCUUCGAGUAGCAUU